GGAUGUGAGGGCGAUCUGGCUACGACAUCUGUCACCCCAUUGACCGCCAGGGUUGAUUCGGGUGAUCUGGCUGGCUAGGCGGGUGUCCCCCUCCUCCCUCACCGCUAGGACGACCUGCCCCGAUAGAGGAGGACUGUUCAGUCAAGGGUAUAGGAGUACCUGCACUCCCCCGCUCCCCCGCUAGAACCUCCAAACAAGCUCUCAAGAAGACGCUCUGAGAUUUUUCACUGUGUAACUUACAAUCACUAAAGAAGUUUCCUUCUCUUUUUUUCUUUUGCU
rnacentral:snRNA from 1 species